rnacentral:tRNA from 1 species
CCCUCUGUGGCGUAAACAGCUAAAGCACUUGGCUGUUAAACAAAAGGUUGGAGGUUCAAUUCCACCCAGGCGUG